AGUGUAAAAAAUUGAAAUGUUUUAAUUUAAUAAAGAACAAUUAUCUUAUACACCGUCUAUGAAGUUUUUAAAAUUCCACAAACAAAUUGAAGAUACUACAUGUGUCUUGUAAGGUGUAGUGGGCCAAAUUUGCCCGGCCCGAAUAAAAACAAUAAAUGAUAUAAAAAUCUAGAUAUCAAUAGUCCAUUAUUUACAACCCAAAAUCAAACCAAAUUAACCCCAAUGUUUCAAGACCCAAAUUACAAAUCCAUUUACAAAAUGACAUAGCCCAAUACCCCAAACGGCCCAGAAACUGAGCCCCAUUUUGGCAAACCCUAGGGCAAGGGUCUCCUUGUGCCGCAGCCCUCACUAGCAGCCAAACCACAUUGCGCCAGACAACGCCUCCAACAGCACCAGCGCACAGCCCUCGUACGCCACGCCCGUACCUCCGUACGAUGCCAGCAGACUCCGUACCUGCGAAAAAGACACACAGAACAGCAGCGAAUAGGGAAGAAGAAAAUAGCAUUUUCAUUUUUUGAUUUUUCUUUCUUUUCGGCUAUAAAGGCCAUGUAAUAGCCUAGGUGAGUUUUUUACGCAACAUAAACGCACAAUAGGCCAUACAGACACAAUCAAUACAUUUUGAAAUACAAAAAAGCAACGAGCAUUCGAAGGUGAUUCCGAUUCAUAAUUUCUGAGAUUUUUUCCUUUUCUUCUUGGCUUAGUUUCAUUCUCCCUGGAAUUUCUUUUUGUUCUUUCGCAUUUUGGGUUGUAUAAAAGAGAGAGGAAAUGAAAUCUUACCCCGUGAAUACGCCGUGAGAUAUCCUCUGAUUCGUUGAAAUCGGGGUCCGAGAGGAGUAUAAGGCGGAAAGAAAACCAUCUUGAGGCUCGAACAGGCCGAUCUCCAUUCAUUGCGGUGGAUUGGCAUGGCAGAUGGAGGGUCAAGGUUCGUUUGAGGGGAGUAAAAAUGGAGGCUAGGGUUUGGAGGUGCUGGCUUAAUCUGCUGAUUGAGCCAUUUUAUAGGACCUCAAACUGUGUCGCAUUGACAUCAAAGCCCGACCCGAUUCGAUUCCAAACCCGAUGACCCGCGUGUUUUUGCGGUGAGGGACUAUUUGCACAUUAAAUCCCUCCCUUUUGCGCCACGUUUAAAUCAAUCCAUAUUUUUAUUCCAUUUCUUUUAAUUUAGGCUUGUAUUUUGAGCUCAUUUGCAAUGGGGUCCGCACAUGUACACAGCGUUUUGGGAGUCUGGAAUAAUUUCAGUUUUGAUCCUUGCAUAUUCGUAUACAUUAUGCGCUGGCCCUUAUCUGUAUUUACAAAUUAUCCUUCCAUUUUAACGUGGUUUCAAUUAGACCCUCUCUUUUAUGUGAUUUCAAUUAUUUUUUUUAGAUUCACCUCAUGUUUUAUUUUAUUUUACUUGUGUUCAUUUACUCGUGUUCAUCGUCUAACUUGCAUCAUUUACUUAUUGUAAUUUGGGUAACUAUGCUUUCAUAUUUUGCGUAUUACCUCAUGUAAUUGUUUUCUUUAUAUACGCUAUUGUACAUAUAUAUUUGUACUUUACAUUAAAGUCAAUUUCAUUUCAUAUAUAUAUACAUUGUUAACCUUAUGUUAUUUUAUACAUGUGUUGUCUUAAAUUUAUUAUUGUAGUUUAUUACAUGGUCCUAUAUAAUAUAUUUUCUCAAUUAUUAUUAUAUACAUAUAUGUUUAUAGAUAUCUAUACUUGAUAUCUAUAUAUAUAUUAUUAAAUCUAUGUAUUUUAUGCAUGUAGUUUUUCUCUUUUUUCAUAUAUGUAAGUAUAUUCUUCAAUUCAUUAUAUAAUUUAUAAUAAAAUCAGUUUUAGCUUGCAUAUAUUUCUAUGUUUUUUACAAAUAAUUAUUUUUUAAAAAAAGGGGGGUUAUUUAUAUAUAUAUAAUUUGUAGAUCCAUUGCAUUUUUGAAGAUUAUAUCGUACUAUAUAUUUUUAUUAUUACCGUUUUUAAUAUAUUUUACACAUACUUUAAAUUAUUAUUCUAUACAUCCUCGUUUUUUUUUUAAAAAUCAAUAUUAUUCUACGUUUUGGUAUGAUUUUCGAUUUAAACAUUCAUUUUAUAAUAUUUUUUAAAAUGAUUAAGCGUAUAUCCCUAGUUUUUCCUUUUUUACAAAUAAAUUUUAAAUGCACCAAUUCAUUAAUUUGCAUGUCAUAAAGAUUUUUGGUUCAUUAGAUCGCAUUUGUUCCGACAUCGUCUUAUACCACUUUGACUUCUAAAUUCUAUUUUGUUUUGCAUACGCUCUUUUGGUUGCUUUAUAUAUGUACAUUCCUUGCGUGGCAUCCACCUUAUUGAACUGUUAAUUACUCAUCAUAUAUGAUUGAAAUUAGGCUAUAAUUCCUAGAUUAAUUAUAUUUAAUUGCUUGUUCUGCUAGUUGAUUCAUUAAGUAUUGUAUCUCGUAUGUGUAUAUUACCUCAUUCAUCGUUUUCCAUUUGAUUUUCGAAAUGCGGUUUUAUAAAAUCCAAAUUUUAUGAUUAAUCUCGUACUAUUUCAAAUUGAAUUAAUACGUCUUAAGCUAGCUCUAUAAUCAUUCAUUCAAAAAUUCUUUAAAAACGAAGGCAAGAUUCGAUGUUUGGCAAUUCGUGGAAUCGUGCCCUAACGUGUUGGGUUGCGAUUUCGCGUUUGCUCAAAAUAAUCGAAUAUCACUUCGAAAUUUCACUCACGCCUUUUAAAAUUCCUCAAAACGAAGACGAGGUUUGAUAUUUAGCAAUUCGCAGAAUCGUGCCCUAACGUGUUGGGUUGCAAUUUUGCGUUUGUUCAAAAUAAUCGGGCUUCCCUUCAAAAUUCCAUUCAUAUCUCCUAAAAUUUUUUAAAUGAAGGCAAUGUUCGACGUUUGAUAAUUUGAGAAUCAUGCUCUAUCGCGUUGGGUUGUGGUUCCUGGUUUGCUCAAAAUGAUCGAACAUUCCUUUACAUUCUCACUCAUGUUUAUAAAAAAAAUACUUAAAAACGAAAACGAUGUUCAAUGUUUGGCGAUUUGAGAAUCGUGCCCUAUCGUGCUGGGUUGCGCUUUUUCAUUGGUCUGAAACAAUUGAAGAUCCCUUCAGAAUUUCCCUCGCACUUUCUAAAAUCUUUUAAAAUAAAGGCGAUGUUCGAUGUUUGGCGAUUUGAGAAUCGAGCCCUAUCAUGCUGGGUUGCGCUUUCUCAUUUGCCCAAAAUAAUCGAAUAUCUCCUCGAAAUUUUCACACGUAUUUUAUAAAGUAAGGCAAUGGUCAAUAUUUAGAAAUUCGAAGAAUCGUACCCUACUGUGCUGGGUUUCGAUUUUUCGUUGGACUAAAUAGUUGAGCAUCAUUCUGUAAUUCUCAAAUUAUAUACCUUCGGGCAUCGAAACAAGAAAUUUUGGCAACCAAGUCGGAUCACUCAAACGUUAUAAAAGGAACCACAUUUCAAAAAACUUUUAAUUUUAGACAUAAGGACAGUAUUUAAUUGACUUGGUACCAAUUUUGGGCGUAGUGAGGGUGCUAAUCCUUCCUCAUGCGUAACCGACUCCCGAACCUGUUUUCUCAAAAGUUCGUAGACCAAAAUUAUUGUUUUAAUAAACCAAAAAUGUUUAUUUAAACUAACCUCAUUUUUAGGUGAUUCGAUCACACCAAAAUAAAAGAUCGGUGGCGACUCCAUAUUUUCAUUUUCCAAAAAGUCGAUUCCACCAUUUUUCAUUAAAAUAAUUUUUUUUUAAAAUCGUGGGAUGGUUUCGACAGCUUGGCGACUCCGGUGGGGAUUUGAACUUGAGAGUCGAGCCAUAAAAAUCGAUUAUUUACUGUCCUUUUGUUAAAAAACCGAAAAUUUAUUUUAAAAAUCAUGUAUAUUUCGAUUGCAUUUGAUUGUAUGUUUGUGCGGGCCUUGUAGAAUAGCACUGCAUUUCAUUGCAUGACCACUGUGGUUACACCUUCUAAGUGGAAGUAAGAAGCUACGCUUUCGUGAGGUUUUCACCUCCGCAUGGGCUAGUGGAUUGCUUCCGGGGUACAUCCGUACCUAUGAUUUCGUGAGAUUUUCAUCUCUGCAUGGUCAUAGGGAAAUGUAUCCCCUCGAACCGAACUCGAUCUAUAUGAGCUUAUAAUGGGUGAGGAUUGAGGAAUCUGCUGGUUCGGGUACCCAUUUUCCUAGAACUAAACCACAUAUAGUGAACCUUAGGAGCUAUCCUUGGGUGGAGCCGCGUCGAACCUUAGUACUUACCCGUACAUGCGUUAUAAUCACCGUUUAUGUGCUUGCAUUCUAUUGCUAUUAUUUGAUACUAACCGAUGUUUUGUUUUGAUUGUCUUUUUUGCAUGACAUUGCAUAUUAAAGGAGGCGUUAAUCUACAUUCAAUUACUAAGUUAGAAAAUUUGACAUGGAGAAUGAAUUUUUUAGUAAAGUCGAGGAUAAUGCGGCCGUUCGUGCUUGGUCGGAGAGGCUACAAUCUGAGAGAGGGGAUAGCUUGGCAGAAGGGUAUGUGUCGGAGCUGUAGGAUUUCACUCGCGUCAAUGUAGUACAGAAUAAGCUGCAAUAGUUGAGAGACAUUUGGGUUAGUUGGGAUGAAAGGAUCAAGCAGUUGUUUUACCAAAGUUAUGGUGACAUAUCCUACCUGCUAGACAUUAAAGUGGAUAAGCAUUUGUUCCGAGCCUUGGUGCAGUUUUGGAAUUCCGCAUAUAAGUGUUUUACCUUUGGAGAAGUGGAUUUGGUACCUACCAUGGAGGAAUAUACUACGCUGCUUAGAUGUCCAAAGAUUCAGGUCUGGAAGACUUAUGCCCGGGUUUUUAGUAAUCAGGCUUUCGUGAAGAAACUGAUGAGCAUUUCUGGGAUGAGCGAGUCUUGGGUCACUGCUCGGAUUCAGCAGAAAGGAGAUAGCAAAUGUGUCCCUUGGGAGAAUUUGCGAGAUUUGAUCUUGACUCAUCUAGACGAAAGAAAGAGGGUCGAUAUAUUUGCCUUAAGCAUCUACGGAUUAGUGAUCUUUCCUACGGCUUUGAGGCACGUGGACGAGGCGGUCAUUGACUUGUUUGAUCGUCUUGAAAAGGGAAUCACACCGGUACCGGCAAUAUUGGCAGAAACGUUCAGAUCUUUGAGCUUAUGUCAGAAGACGGGUGAGGGGCGAUUUAUUGGAUGUGCUCAACUAUUGAUGGUAUGGUUUCAUGGGAACUUUUGGAAGGUAGACAAGGUUUCCUAUCGAGUCUUUUCCAAAGGUUAUUCCCCUUUGAAAGAAGAGGUAGCUAUACAGAGGAGAAAGGAUAUCUCAGAAGAGAAGUGGAUGGAUAUUUUUCAGAACCUUAAGGAGGAGGAUAUCGAGUGGAGUGCUUAUUGGAUGGUUCCUGAUGAGAUCAUGUACCAAUGUGGUAACUUUGAUUGGGUGCCAUUGUUAGGAAUUUGGGGAGCUACCGGGUAUACUCCGUUGAUAGCCUUGAGGCAAUACAAGUCGAGGCAGUUUGUACCCACGACCUAUGGACUUGCUCAGAGUGAAUUCUCGUUUAAAGGUGCUCACUAUUAAAAGAGAGUUCGGGAGUUAUCGGAUGCUUGGAAGCAAACUUGUUAGAUGAAGAGGUUAGCCGUCGGUUCUAUGGUAACGCCCGAGUACAGCAAGUGGUUUAAGAAGAGGAUUAAUGAUAAUAUUCCUAGGCCAAGCUUAGAGAAUGCUCGGCCUAUCGGGGAACAAUUACAAGUCGCCCCAUCAGAAUUGGAGAUUAUAAAACAAGAUUUCGAGAAGAAGAGUUUGGAGUUUGGUAAGAAGAUCGAACAAUUAGAGGAAGAGAAGAUGCACCUAAGAUUAGAGGCUGAUGUCCAAAGGUCAGAGGCUGAGAAGUGGAGAAAAGGAAAAACUAAGGCUGAAGAAGAUCUAGACAGUUUGAAAAUGGACUACAAAAAGUUACGCCUAUCUAUGAGGAUUGCGGGUUUAGGUAAGACUUCCGAACAAUGGCGCCAUGAAAUUCGGGAAGAAAAAACCAAUACCGACCGGUGGGAAAGGAAAUUUCGAGAAACUCAAGCACGAAACGAAGAUUUGGAGAAAAGUCUAUCAGAAAGCAGAAAUGAGCAAGGGGAAUUAAGGGCUAGAGUGGCAGAACUCGAGAAGUCCCUACAUCAGUACCGAAACCGCAACACCGUGACAGAAUUGAGGGCAAGCUUGAGCAAAAUACAAGAAAUGAAAGGAAGAAUAGAAGAGUUAGAGGCGUCACUGCAAAAUUGUGAUAUGCGAAUCCAGUUUUUUGAGGCAAACGAGGAUCGUUGGAAGGAGCAACUUCACCAUGCGCAAGGCCAAGUUAGAAAUAGGGAUUACCUUAUGGGAGAGGCCAUAACCCAGAUCCGGGAGGUAGCGGACUACUUGCAAACUCUAGCGGUUCAGGCAGACACACUAAGCGUGAAAUAUGAGUUAGAGUCGGAGCGCGAACAAGAGCUGGCCUCAUUGCUUAGAAAAAUUAGGACUUUGAGCGUUAGAGCAAAAUUAUAUUUGUAACUCGACUUUAUGUAAAAGAUUUUAUUUUCAAGUAAAAUUUUCUAAGGGCUGUUGAAUCAAAAUUGAUGCCUCCUUUACAUUCAUGCAUUUGCAUUACAUCAUAUCAUUAUGCAUUAAAGGCCAUUAGAGUUUUCUAAUUAAUUAACUAAAAAUUAUUUCAAUAACCUGGAAACCAAUGAAAACCAACCACGCACCCCUACAGUACAAGGAAAAAAUCAAUGGAUAAGAGACUCGAGAAAUUAGAGCGGAUGCAAAAAGACAUGCAAGAACAAAUACAGUCUCAGAUGCAAGAGCAGCUAGCCAAGAUUCAGUGAGAGAUGAAAGAGCAAAUGAUGGAGUCCCAGAGGGAAAUGAUGAGUCAGUUAUCCCAAUUGUUGUUGGGAGGAACGGAUAAGGGAAAGGGCCCCAUGGACAAAGUUGAAGAAGCUAAUGAGGAUCCUCAAUACCCCCUGGCUUCACUCUGACACAUGUACCGGUGAAGCUCGAGAUUAAUCUACCGAAGCCAUCUGUCACGAUCAUACCCCAGCAGGUUCAGGCUGGAGCUUCAAUACUGAUGAAUUUCCAAACCGGCUUAGGCUCCAACUUUGUCAACAACCCGAACUAUCCGCCCAUUCCCGAUUUGGAUGAAAUUGCUGAAGAAGAAAAGGCGAGGAUGGAUUCGCAAAAACAAUUGGAAAAACGGUGUAGAUGGCUCGAAGAGAAAUUUAAAGCCAUGGAAAGCGCGGAUCAUCAUCAAGGGAUUAAUGCCAAGGACCUAAGUUUAGUCCCAGAUUUAGUCCUUCCCCCCAAAUUCAAAAUGCCCAAGUUCGAGAAAUACAAUGGAACAAGUUGCCCUGAAGCUCAUAUCAUUAUGUUCUGCAGGCGAAUGACGGGAUAUGUUAACAAUGACCAGCUAUUAAUCCACUACUUUCAAGAUAGUUUGGUCGGGGCGGCGUCUAAGUAGUACAACCAAUUAAGCCGCUCUAAGAUUAACUUGUGGAAGGACCUGGCCCAAGCCUUUAUGAAGCAAUACAAUCACGUGACAGACAUGACCCCUGACAGAAUCACUCUCCAGAAUAUGGAGAAGAAAUCGAAUGAAAGCUUCAGGCAGUACGUAUAAAGAUGGAGGGAGGUGGCCAUACAAGUUCAGCCGCCACUUCUAGAAAAGGAGAUAACGAUACUCUUUAUAAAUACCUUGAAGGCCCCUUUUAUCACUCAUAUGUUGGGAAGCGCCACCAAGAGCUUCUCCGACAUAGUGAUGAUGGGAGAAAUGAUCGAAAAUGCUGUAAAGAGCGGCAAGAUAGAAUCGAGAGAGAGUGCUAGGAAGUUAGCCCCGAGGAGAAAAGACAAUGAAGUGAACAACACGAGCACAUUCAACAAGGGGCAGCCCAAGUCAAUUACCGUAAAUCAACCCAAAAUGGUGACUACCAAUCAACAAAGUUCUGUAAGGCAAGAAUCCAAUGCGAGGAAGAACAUAGAAAGGCCACAAUACACCCCUAUACCCAUGUCCUAUAGAGAGUUGUACCAGAACCUGUUCAACGCUCAUGUGGUAUCCCCUUUCUACCUGGAGCCACUGCAGUCCCCGUAUUCCAAAUAGUAUGACGCGAAUGCCCAAUGUGAGUACCACGCGGGAAUCACCGGGCACUCAAUCGAAAAUUGCACUGCGUUUAAGAAAGUGGUCGAAAGACUCAUUAAGGUGGGAAUCAUGAGAUUUGAUGACCCAGCCACGCCCAAUUUAGCAGGAAACCCACUCCCUAAUCAUACCGACCAAGGAGUGAAUGGGAUAAGUGAAGGCUUGAACAAGAAGACCAAGUAUGAGGUGGCAGAAAUCAGGACCUCGUUGAAGCGGGUAUGGAAAGAGAUGACUAAGAGAGGAUUGAUAGCAUUGGAUCCAAGGGAAGAACCCGAAGAAGAGAGAAACUACUGUGAGUUUCAUGACGAGGUGGGGCAUGAAAUCCAAGAAUGUGUGGAAUUCAUGGCCCUCGUGCAGAACAUGAUAGAUAACAAAGAAAUGGAAUUCUAUGAAGAAGCUAAAAGCCUCAUAGAGGGAAAUGUAUGCGCAUCCGAGGGAGAAUCAAAGGCGUAGAAUCAAAUGCCUAAUUAUCCCGUGGUGAUCAUUUCGAGACCCAAAAAUAAUGAAGCUGGAGUAAAAAUGCCAUCGAGGGUCAUAAUCCAAAGACCUGCAGUCUUCCCUUACAAAAACAGUAAAAAGGUCCCAUGAAAUUAUGAUUGCAGUGUGACGAUGCCGGGAAAAGAGAGCCCGGUUAGCGCUUCAAUAAGGGAUCAAGAUAGAGGUUCCUAUACACAUAGCGGGAGGCGUUACGAUACAAUGAAUGAGGAGGAACAGCCCACAAAAGAAAAAGCCCAGGUGGUCAAGGAAAUGAAGGAAAAAGCAACCAAACUUGUUAAUGAGCCAGUUAACGAAGACGAGGCCAAGGAAUUUUUAAAAUUCCUAAAGCACAGCGAAUACAGUGUGGUAGAACAGCUACGUAAACAACCAGCUCGCAUUUCAGUGCUGGCCUUGCUUCUAAGCUCGGAAGUUCAUCGUAGCGCACUAAUGAAGGUCUUAAACGAGACAUAUGUUGCCAAUGAUAUCUCCGUUAACAAGCUGGACCGGUUGGUGAGCAACAUAAGUGCCGACAAUUUUAUCUUCUUUAAUGACGACGAGAUACCACCUGGGGGCAUGGGGUCGACUAAAGCUCUGCAUAUCACCACACGCUGUAAAGGGUACACGCUACUAGGUGUACUGAUUGACAAUGGAUCAGCUUUGAACGUCCUGCCAUUGACCACGCUGAACAGAUUACCUAUAGACAGCUCUCACAUGAAGGAGUGCCAGAACAUCGUGAAGGCAUUCGAUGGCACGGAAAGAAAGGUGAUGGGCAGAAUCGAGGUACCUCUCUAGAUUAGGCCAAACACAUAUGAGGUGGAUUUUCUCGUGAUGGAUAUCAAGCCCUCAUACAAUUGCUUGUUGGGGAGGCUCUGGAUACAUUUAGCUGGGGCAGUACCUUCCCCGUUGCAUCAAAAAUUGAAGCUGGUGUCGGAGGGGAGGUUGAUAACGAUUAAGGCUGAAGAAGAUAUUAUUGCAACUGUGAGCAAUAAUGCACCCUAUUUGGAGACAUAUGACGAAGCAAUCGAAUGCUCAUUUCGAUCUUUGGAAUUUGUUAACGCGACGUUCAUCACCGAGGGAAGCAAAAUUUUGGUGCCGAAAUUGUCCAAAACCACGAGGAUGAGCCUCGAGUUGACGAUUGGAAAAGGGGCCCUACCCGGAAAGGGACUUGGGAGACAUCUACAAGGAAGGAUCGAAACGCCAAUGCUGAAAGAAAAGAGAGACCGCUUCGGCUUAGGAUUUAAGCCGGAUGUGAAACAAAGGAGAAGGGAGCCAGAAAAGAAGCAAGAAAGAAGGAGAGCUCGAUUAAUGGGGGAGCAAAUCAAGUGGGAACCAAUGACAUUCCCCCAUAUAUUGAAAACAUUUGUAUCCAGGGGAAUCAUUCAUCCUGAGAGAGACACGCCAAUGAUGGGAGCUAUAAAAGAAAGUCUGGAAAGUUUGGACAUCAACGUCAUGUACGAAAAGGAGACUGGAAGGGAAAAUUUGUCGGGCAUUUGCCCCUACACGCCUGGAAGUGUUCUGGACAACUAGAUUGCGGAAGAGAUCCUUGUAGUUUUUAGAACGGAUUCAGAGUAAUGUCCAAAACACACUUAUUGCUCUAGGCCUAGGAGUGAUAAGAAUCUUUUGUGAAAUAGGCUGAUGUUUAAAAACGAUAUUUCAAUAAAAUGCACAGUUAUUAUCAUUUUUGAGCAAAUGUUCUCUCGUCCUCUUAAUUUCAUUCAUAACCAUACAAAUGAUUACUUUCGGAUUCUUUUAUUCUUGAAACAUUCUUCUAAGUAUUCUUUCAUUCGUCAUUCAUAAUCAUAUCACGCAAAUAAAUGUUUCGAAUUCUUUUGAUUCUUUGUAUCUGCCUUCGUCCUUAUAACAGGUUCCCAAAUAUUAAUGAUACGAGUGACACUGCUAGCGACUCAGAAUUUCCUUUCGAGCAAGAUGUAUGUAUGGAUGAUUCUUAGGAUUUUGAAGAUGACCAAGGCUGUAACCUAUCUCUUGAUUUGUUGAAGAUGGAGGAACAAGACGAGAAAUAAAUCCUACCUCACAAAGAAUUAAUCGAAAUUGUGAGCUUAGGAGAAGGACAAGAGGUAAAGAUCGGAAUAAGUAUCACUGCGAAAAUGAAGCGAGACCUCAUUGAAUUACUUUAAGAAUUCAAAGGUGUCUUCGCAUGGUCAUACCAAGAUAUGCCCGGGUUGGACACUGACAUCGUGGUGCAUCGACUUCCCAUAAAAGAAUAGUGUAAGCCAGUUUAGCAAAAACUCCGAAGAAUGAGGCCCGAUGUCUUGCUAAAAAUAAAGGAAGAGGUUCGAAAGCAGUUUGACGUUGGAUUUCUGAAGGUGGUAAAAUACUCAGAUUGGGUAGCCAACAUCAUCCCUGUCCCUAAGAAAGAUGGAAAAGUGCUAAUGUGUGUAGACUACAGAGAUUUGAAUAAAGCCAGCCCAAAAGACAAUUUCCCACUGCCUCAUAUCGACACCCUAGUGGACAACAUGGCGGGACAUUCACUGUUUUCAUUCAUGGAUGAUUUUUUGGGAUACAACCAGAUCAAGAUGCAUCCUGAAGAUAUGAAGAAGACCAUAUUUGUAACCAUGUAGGGCACGUUCUGUUACAAGGUGAUGCCGUUUGGAUUGAAGAAUGCGGGGACAACUUAUCAAAGAGCUAUGGUAACCUUUUUUCACGACAUGAUGCAUAAAGAAAUCGAGGUUUAUGUCGAUGACAUGAUCGUAAAGUCUCGAACAGAGAAGGAGCACAUACAAGUCUUGAGGAAAUUGUUCUUGAGGUUGAGGAAGUUCCAGCUAAAACUCAACCCAGCCAAAUGUACCUUCGGAGCUAAAUCCGGAAAGUUGCUCGGAUUCGUGGUUAGUGAGAAAGGGAUUGAGAUCGAUCUAGACAAAGUUAAAGCCAUACAAGAGUUAUCCUCGCCGCGCACUAAAAAAGAAGUUCGAGGCUUUCUAGGAAGAUUAAAUUACAUUGCUCGGUUCAUUUCACAACUGACCGAGAAAUGUGGCCCUGUCUUUCGCCUCCUCAAGAAACAUAACCCAGGUGAAUGGGAUGAAGAAUGCCAAAGGGCUUUCGACAAGGUUAAACAGUACUUAUCCAACGCCCCGGUGCUGAUGCCACCUAACCCCGAUAAGCCGUUGAUACUGUAUUUGGCAGUAUUCGAGAACUCUAUGAGAUGCAUGCUGGCUCAGCAUGAUGAGUCAGGAAGGAAAGAAAAAGCUAUUUACUAUCUCAGUAAAAAGUUUACGGAAUGUGAGACAAUGUACCCGUCGAUAGAGAAGUUGUGUUGUGCCCUAAUAUGGACAACCCGCAGGCUGAGGCAAUAUAUGUUGUAUCACACCACUUGGCUCAUAUCAAAGUUGGACCCUUUAAAGUACAUGAUGGAGUCAACAACCUUAAAUGGAAGGAUGGCCCGAUGACAGAUUCUGCUUUCUAAAUUCAACAUAGUCUAUGUGAACCAAAAAGUAAUAAAAGGAAGUGCGAUAGCAGAUUUUCUAGCCAGUAGAGCUUUGGAAGACUACGAGCCUUUGAACUUCGACUUUCCGAAUGAAGACCUAAUGUGUAUUGCUACGACUGAAGAAGGUGCUCUGGAAGAACUUCUUUGGAAACUGAACUUCGAUGGGGCAUCAAAUGCUGUGGGCAAUGGAAUCGGGGCCGUCUUGGUAUCCCCAAAACGAGAUCAUUACCCAUUCACUAGUAAAUUGGAUUUUGAUUGUACAAAAAAUAUGGUGGAAUAUGAAGCGUGCAUCAUGGGUAUCCGUGCAGCCAUAGAACGUAAGAUUAAAGUGCGAGAGGUGUAUGGAGAUUCUGCGCUAGUGAUUUAUCAACUCAAGGGAGAAUGGGAGACUAGAGACCUCAAGUUAAUCGAUUAUCGGAAGCUGGUCCUUGAGUUGAUUAAAGAGUUUGAUGACAUUACCUUCCACUACCUUCCACGAGACAAAAAUCAGAUGGCUGACGCUUUGGCUACCUUAGCCUCCAUGAUCAAGGUGAACAAACAAGAAGAUGUCAAACCCAUCCGAAUGAACAUUUAUGAAAUUCCGGCCCAUUCUUACAAUAUUGAAAAAGAUGAAGAGAAAGAUGAUCACCCUUGGUAUCACGAUAUAUUGCAAUAUGUGAAGAAUCGUGAGUACCCGGACCAGGCAAGCGAGAAUGAAAAAAGAACGCUAAGAAGAUUGGCCAUCGACUACGUCUUAGAUGGGGAUAUAUUAUACAAAAGAAGAAAGGAUCAAGUGCUACUAAGAUGUGUAGACGCUGUAGAGGCUAGGAAAAUCUUGGAAGAAGUCCAUGAAGGCGUCUGUGGGACACAUGCUAAUGGCUUUACAAUGGCCAGGCAAAUUAUGAGAUUCGGGUACUAUUGGUCCACCAUGGAAGGAGACUGUGUCAAUUACGCUAAGAGAUGUCAUAAGUGUCAAAUCUACGGAGACAAAAUUCUUGUGCCUCCUUCACCGUUGCAUGUCAUGGUUUCUUCAUGGCCAUUCUCUAUGUGGGGCAUGGAUGUGAUUAGACCAAUAUCGCCGAAAGCUACCAAUGGGCAUCGAUUCAUCUUCGUGGUUAUCGACUACUUCACCAAGUGGGUAGAAACUGCUUCGUAUGCUAGUGUGACCAAGUCGGCAGUGAGCAAGUUUCUGAAAAAGGAUAUUAUAUGUCGAUAUGGAAUGCCGGAGAGGAUUAUAUCCGACAAUGCAUUAAACUUGAACAAUAGUACGAUAGCAGAAGUCUGCAGUCAAUUCAAGAACAGACAUCACAACUCGUCACCAUAUCGCCCAAAGAUGAAUGGGGCAGUGGAAGCGGCCAAUACAAACAUUAAGAAAAUUGUGGGGAAGAUGACCAAAACCUACAGAGACUGGCAUGAGAAGUUACCAUUUGCCCUCUUCGCUUAUCGAACGUCAGUCAAAACCUCAACUGGGGCAGCCCCUUUUUCUUUGGUCUACGGAAUGGAAGCGGUGUUGCCGAUCGAGGUCGAGAUCCCGUCCCUUCGAGUGUUGUUGGAGUUAAAUUUGGAAGAAGCCGAGUGGAUCCAAUCUCGAUAUGAUCAAUUGAACCUAACGAGGAAAAAAGGUUAAAAGCUAUUCGUCAUGGUCAGAUGUACCAAAAAUGAAUGAUGCAGGCUUAUGAUAAAAAGGUUCGUCCUAGAGAAUUCCACGAGGGAGACCUGGUUUUGAAAAAGAUUCUUCCCAUACAGAAAUAUUUUCGGGGAAAAUGGAUGCCUAAUUGGGAAGGGCCUUACGUAGUGAAGAAAGCUUUCACUGGAGUAGCAUUGAUUCUAGCCGAGAUGGACGAUAGAAACUUGCCCAAUCCUGUAAACUCGGACUCGGUCAAGAAGUAUUUUACCUGAAGAAAGAGAGGCCUGAGUGAAAACCCACAAAGGGUGCUCUGAAAUCCAAAAAAAAACCCGGAGAGGCCAAGGUGAAAACCCACAAAGGGUAUUUUGGAACCAAAGGGGCUUUUGAGUUGAAAACCCAAAAACGGGCAGCUCAAAUUUUGAAUAUGGGGCAUAUGGCGGUCUUGUCCUUCCAAAAUCAACAAGACAGAAGAACAUUACACCUUGGAGCAUCAACAAAAUACGCGGGAUCUCCUGAACACACAUUUGGUUCGAAUGAACCUUUGAGAAAUUAGAAUAGUGAAACUCGUGCUGCGAUAUCUGGGGCAUCUUUUUCUCAUUUUUCGCACCUUACCAGAUUCAUUAUCCUAUGUAUUCACAUCAAAAUUUGCUUAAUAAAAUGACAUUUGUCCAUUAUGAUAAUCUCUUUCGAGCAGUUUUGUCGAAAUCGCGAUUUUUGAACAUGUAAUAUCUACAUAAAAGAUGUUAUGCAUAUUACUCUGGAAAAGUCUCUAAAUAGUACAAGGACCUGAAACAGGGCCACUAGUCAGAACUAACCAGGUUCAAAGUUGGAAAAUAUUGGAAAAAGAGAAAUCCAAAUUAGGACUAUUUCUUCAAAUUUUCUGGCAGAGAUAACGGCUAAGUAAGAAAACGUGAUAGCACAUCAAUGAUGGAACCCGGACGAAUCAUGAGCAAUGAUACCUUAAACGUUUGAAGAGGAAUUAUUCUCAUAGCACUUCUACAUUCAUAAUCAUUCAUUUAGUUAGGAGCACUUGAUUCAUUUCGAUCAUAGCAUUCUAAUUAUCUGACAUAAACACCACAUCUAGUUAGGGACAUUUGAUUCAUCUCGAUCAUAGUAUCCUAAUUACUUGAUACAGGAAACCAAUUCUACAAAUCAUGUCUUUGGAAGACAGUGUAGUGACAUUGGCGAAUCCUACAGAUCCUGCUUCCCUGAAGUUGCAGUGGAGCAGAUCGAAGACGACAAAUCUUGACUUCCUGAAGUUGCAGUGAAGUAGAUUUAAGUCACUAACCUAGCUCCCUAAAGUUGUAGUGGAGUAGGUUGAGAUUUUAGAUCCUACUUCCCUGAAGUUACAGUGGAGCAGAUCAAAAACGACGAAUCCUGACUUCCUGAAGUUGCAGUGAAGCAGAUUUAAGUCACUAACCUUGUUCCCUAAAGUUGUAGUGGAGUAGGUUAAAAUUUUAGAUCUCGUUUCCCUGAAGUUGCAGUGGAGUAAAUCAAAGACAACGAAUCUUGACUUCCUGAAGUUGCAGCAAAGCAGAUUUAAGUCACUAACCUAGCUCCCUAAAGUUGUAGUGGAGUAGGUUGAAAUUUUCGAUCUCGUUUCCCUGAAGUUGCAGUGGAGCAGAUCGAAGACGGCGAAUCUGAGCUUCUUGAAGUUGCAGUGAAGCAGAUUUAAGCCACUAACCUAGCUCCCUAGAGUUGUAGUAGAGUAGGUUGAAAUUUUAGAUCUCGUUUCCCUGAAGUUGCAGUGGAGCAGAUCGAAGACGGCGAAUCUGAGCUUCCUGAAGUUGCAGUGAAGUAGAUUUAAGCCACCAACCCAGCUCCCUAAAGUUGUAGUGGAGUAGGUUGAAAUUUUAGAUUUUGUUUCCCUGAAGUUGCAGUGAAACAGAUCGAAGACGGUGAAUCUUGACUUCUUGAAAUUGCAAUGAAGUAGAUUUAAGCCACCAUCCUAGCUCCCUAAAGUUGUAGCGGAGUAGGUUGAAGAUUGUAGAUCUUGUCUCCCUGAAGUUGCAGUGGAGCAUAUUGAAGCUACUUGAAGAAAAAAAGUACCAAGAAGUCGAGGCUCAGCAGGUCCUGGCAAAUUUGGCCCAUUUAUAGUCUUUACUUUAUUCUCGUUACACGACAAUAUGCAAAGAAGGGCAGCUGUAGUGGGCCAAAUUUGCCCGGUCCGAAUAAAAAUAAUAAAUGAUAUAAAAAUCUAGAUAUCAAUAGUCCAUUAUCUGUCCAAUUACAACCCAAAAUCAAACCAAAUUAACCCUAAUGUUUCAAGACACAAAUUACAAGUCCAUUUACAAAAUGACAUAGCCCAAUACCCCAAACGGCCCAGAAACUGAGCCCCAUUUUGGCAAACCCUAGGGCAAGGGUCUCCUUGUGCCGCAGCCCUCACUAGUGGCCAAACCACAUUGCGCCAGACAACGCCUCCAACAGCACCAGUGCACAGCCCUCGUACGCCACGCCCGUACCUCCGUACGAUGCAGGCAGACUCCGUACCUGCGAAAAAGGCACAUAGAACAGCAGCGAAUGGGGAAGAAGAAAAUAGCAUUUUCAUUUUUUGAUUUUUCUUUCUUUUCGACUAUAAAGGCCAUGUAAUAGCCUAGGUGAGUUUUUUACGCAACAUAAACGCACAAUAGGCCAUACAGACACAAUCAAUACAUUUUGAAAUACAAAAAAGCAACGAGCAUUCGAAGGUGAUUCCGAUUCAUAAUUUCUGAGAUUUUUUCCUUUUCUUCUUGGCUUAGUUUCAUUCUCCCUGGAAUUUCUUUUUAUUCUUUCGCAUUUUGGGUUGUAUAAAAGAGAGAGGAAAUGAAAUCUUACCCCGUGAAUACG
rnacentral:lncRNA from 1 species